ACAAACUGCCACCUUAAUUAAUUGAUGAAAAUGAACAAAGAAAACAGUUGCAGACCACACAGGGAACAGAGAAGUGGUUUAAUACAACAGCUGAUGUAAAGAUCCUGAGUGCCAGGAGACCUCCCUUUAGUCUCUGCUUUUCCACUGACUUGAAACAUGAUGCUGAAAAAGUCAUUACAGACCCCACACCUGAGCUCCUCCAAAUUCUGCACAGUGGCUUCCUGAAAGGAGGGUGAAUCAUUCCCCGCAUGUUUCCUUGGCUGGAGCUAAGAGUCACAGGGCAUGCACAGGGAAAUCCAGCCUGUUUCUUUAAAUGUACAUCCUCCAAUAUGUUUUCCUGAGGGAAAGAAGGCUGCAGAUCGGUGCCUGGCAGCCUGAGCAGAAAAUGGUAGUUCUGUGCUAAGUAGGUUUCCUAUUCUUUGGGUGGUGGUUGCACUGUCCUAUGAUGAUUGCUGAAAACCCUGUGAUUUCUGCACUGGUGAAAUGAAGUGAGCUCUUCUUGUGUGUGUGG
rnacentral:lncRNA from 1 species